UUGGUCAUGAUGUUUGUUG
rnacentral:misc_RNA from 1 species